UUAGUGGCGGACGGGUGAGUAACGCGUGAGGAACCUGCCUUCCAGAGGGGGACAACAGUUGGAAACGACUGCUAAUACCGCAUAAUGCAGCGUGAUCGCAUGAUCGUGCUGCCAAAGAUUUUAUCGCUGGAAGAUGGCCUCGCGUCUGAUUAGAUAGUUGGUGGGGUAACGGCCUACCAAGUCGACGAUCAGUAGCCGGACUGAGAGGUUGAACGGCCACAUUGGGACUGAGACACGGCCCAGACUCCUACGGGAGGCAGCAGUGGGGAAUAUUGCGCAAUGGGGGCAACCCUGACGCAGCAACGCCGCGUGAAGGAAGAAGGUCUUCGGAUUGUAAACUUUUGUCUUAUGGGAAGAUAAUGACGGUACCAUAGGAGGAAGCUCCGGCUAACUACGUGCCAGCAGCCGCGGUAAUACGUAGGGAGCGAGCGUUGUCCGGAAUUACUGGGUGUAAAGGGUGCGUAGGCGGGUAUGCAAGUCACAUGUGAAAUACCGGGGCUCAACUCCGGAGCUGCAUGAGAAACUGUAUAUCUUGAGUGCAGAAGAGGUAAGCGGAAUUCCUAGUGUAGCGGUGAAAUGCGUAGAUAUUAGGGGGAACACCAGUGGCGAAGGCAGGUCUCUGGGCUGUAACUGACGCUGAGGAGCGAAAGCAUGGGGAGCGAACAGGAUUAGAUACCCUGGUAGUCCAUGCCGUAAACGUUGGGCACUAGGUGUGGGGGACAUUCCACGUUUUCCGCGCCGUAGCUAACGCAUUAAGUGCCCCGCCUGGGGAGUACGGCCGCAAGGCUAAAACUCAAAGGAAUUGACGGGGGCCCGCACAAGCGGCGGAGCAUGCGGAUUAAUUCGAUGCAACGCAAAGAACCUUACCAAGGCUUGACAUGAACCGGAAAGGCCUGGAAACAGGUCCCCCACUUGUGGCCGGUUUACAGGUGGUGCAUGGUUGUCGUCAGCUCGUGUCGUGAGAUGUUGGGUUAAGUCCCGCAACGAGCGCAACCCUCGUUCUAUGUUGCCAGCGGGUUAUGCCGGGGACUCAUAGGAGACUGCCGGGGUCAACUCGGAGGAAGGUGGGGACGACGUCAAAUCAUCAUGCCCCUUAUGUCUUGGGCUUCACGCAUGCUACAAUGGCCGGUACAAAGGGUUGCGAUACUGUGAGGUGGAGCUAAUCCCAAAAAGCCGGUCUCAGUUCGGAUUGAGGUCUGCAACUCGACCUCAUGAAGUUGGAGUCGCUAGUAAUCGCAGAUCAGCAACGCUGCGGUGAAUACGUUCCCGGGCCUUGCACACACCGCCCGUCAAG
rnacentral:rRNA from 1 species